rnacentral:misc_RNA from 1 species
UUUUAAAAAAAAAAAAUUAAAAAACAAGCAACAAGCUCAAUAUGCUUUGGACUGCACCAGAUACCAACCUCAAAAGCCUAUAUCUUCCUACAGAUGUACUCAAAGAUAUGGUCAGAGAAGUCCAUCAGAAGAAGAAGAGCAAAUGCAUGUCAACGUUUGGUGGAAAGAAAGAGAAAAGAGAGAACCGAAUCAAAGCUUCAUCCAGCUGCAGGCGUGUCAGGCUUCGAAUGACGAGAGAGAGGGAAAGUAAGCAGUAGGCUGUAGAGUGUAAUAAUAAACAUAGCCUGUGUAAAAAAUAAAUAACCCUUAAGACUUUGCUCAGUCAUUCUGGUUGGCCAUUCAAAAUGCCAGAAAAAGCCAAUUUUGCAUAACCGUUACCUCCCACGAGUCAGACUUCUUUCUUUAAUUCAGUCUUUGCGACUCUAAUUACGGUCUUAUCUCUAGAAUCAUCGUUAUUGUUCUUCCUUUUUCUCCUCUUGAUUUUCCGGCGACGGUGAGAAAAUGUCGCCGGCUGCCAAGAAAUUAGCUCAAGAUGGAGGGGAAAACAAGCAUUAUCCUGCGCCUCUUACUUCUCACGAAGAAGUUGUUAAGGACCCUACAACUUUCUGGGACACUCUCAGGCGUUUUCAUUCUAUAAUGGGUACUAAGUUUAUGAUUCCUGUGAUUGGAGGACAGGAGCUCGAUUUGCAUGUUCUGUAUGUAGAGGCUACAAGAAGGGGUGGCUAUGAGAAGGUGGUCGCGGAUAAGAAAUGGAGGGAAGUGGGUUCAGUGUUUAAGUUCUCUCCAACAACAACGAGUGCUUCUUUCGUAUUGAGAAAACACUACUUUGGCCUUCUUUACCAUUAUGAACAAGUUCACUUCUUUAAGGUCCAAGGUCCAGUCUGCUCUCCGACAGUGACAGUUACAUUUCCUGUAAGCAACUCUUUAUGCAGACAUGAAUUGGCUAUUGUGGAAUAUUCCCCCAAACCGAUAAGGGAUUGUCCUGAUCCGCGUACUGAAGGAUCUUCAUCUUUCUCAGCUAUUGGAACUAUUGAUGGGAAAUUUGAUUGCGGAUAUCUGGUUUCUGUGCAAGUGGGUUCAGAGGUCCUCAGUGGUGUACUUUACCAUCCAGAUCAUCCAGACUCAUCUUUUUCUAUUACUCCAUAUAGUCAUGCCCUUGUUCCAUAUACUGGCAGCAGUAAACCUCGCCACUGUCGGAGGAGGAGAAGCAGAAGAGCAGGGGACCCCAGCUACCCAAAACCCAAUAGAAGUGGUUACAACUUCUUCUUUGCUGAAAAGCACUAUAAGCUCAAAUCUCUCUACCCGAACAGAGAACGGGAGUUUACGAAAAUCAUCGGUCAGUCAUGGAGCAGUCUCAGUGCAGAAGAAAGAAUGGUACAAAUACGCAAUAAAAAUUGACUUGUUCUCUUGUUGCAUAGUUUUCGUGUAGCAUAACUUGCAGCAGCACACUUGUUACUAAUCUCCAAUGAGACAGAUUGAGAUAUAUUUGCAUACCUGCCAGUUCUUCGAGCAUUGAAGUGAAUUAGCAAAGACUACUUUAAUUUUACUCACAUCCGUUCCUAAAUUAUUAUUUUUUAAGAUAGAUGCUUGCAGAUUGGCAGAAGCAAUCUCAGAUUGAUAUUCUUGUAUUAUAUGUAUCUUUGUAGGUUUACCAGGACAUUGGGCUGAAAGACAAGGAAAGAUACAAGAGAGAGUUGAAAGAGUACAAAGAGAGACUAAAGCUUAGGGAGACCAUGGAAGUUGGGAGAGCUGAUUAUUAGAGCGCCAGAAGUUGGCCAGAUGAUGUAGUGGAGGUCUUUUAGAGCUCGAGCUCCAGAAGUUGGCCAGAGGUUGUAGGGCCAUUUUCCAAUCUAUAUAUGUAGAUAUAAAUUACCCUUAGAAAAUUUUCAAUAUACAGACAUUCCUAUUUAAUAUGAAGUGCUUAGUUCUUUACUCGUAAUUUAAUCCUUUGAUUUUGCAAAGUCUGUAAAAAUGAGACUCCAACUAGGCCUGAACUGAAAAUUCACUAAACAGUCCGAGACUUCUAAACCUGAGGUAAAAGCUGUCCCCGCUUACAUUAAGAGUUCGAGACGUAUAUUAAGUG